rnacentral:rRNA from 1 species
AAAAUUAGAGUGUUCAAAGCAGGCAGAUCCAAUUUUCUGCCACCGAAUACAUUAGCAUGGGAUAAUGGAAUAGGACCCUGUCCUCCUAUUUUCAGUUGGUUUGCCGCGAGGACCAGGGUAAUGAUUAAUAGGGAUAGUUGGGGGCAUUAAUAUUUAAUUGUCAGAGGUGAAAUUCUUGGAUUUAUGAAAGAUUAACUUCUGCGAAAGCAUCUGCCAAGGAUGUUUUCAUUAAUCAAGAACGAAAGUUAGGGGAUCGAAGACGAUCAGAUACCGUCGUAGUCUUAACCAUAAACGAUGCCGACCAGCGAUUAGGAGACGUUGAAUACAAAACACCACCAUGCGCAUUGCGGUCGUCUUUGGUGUGUCGCUUCACAAGGCGGCAUCAUCGGGACGGCUUAGCUCGCAUUGGCACCGGUGAA